ensembl:snoRNA
CUGUUGUAGUGAUGACUGCAUAGUUCAGCAGAUAACCAUGACGAAGAAAAUGUCUUUCGCUCCUAUCUGAUGCAUCAG